rnacentral:rRNA from 1 species
UACGUAGGAGGCGAGCGUUGUCCGGAAUCACUGGGUGUAAAGCGCGUGUAGGCGGCCUGCCAAGUCUGCUGUGAAAGCGCCUGGCUUAACCGGGCGAGGUCGGUGGAAACUGGCGGGCUGGAGGACGGUAGAGGGGGGUGGAAUUCCCGGUGUAGUGGUGAAAUGCGUAGAUAUCGAGAGGAACACCUGCGGCGAAGGCGGGUUGCUGGGCUGACACUGACGCUGAUGCGCGAAAGCUAGGGGAGCGAACGGG